GUAGUUUAAAUAACAAGCAUGUCAAAAACAGUAUGUUUAGCGUAGAGGUAUGCUAGGAUGCGAAUAUAUUAAGUAAUGAUGAGAAUUUCCAUUAUCCAUCACCCUCCUAUAAAUCAAUCUAACUUGAUCAUCGGAAGCUGCUCCUAUGCAUUCCUGAAGACGUGUCAAUGGAAACUAGUCCCCCACCAAUACCGACAGAACACUUAAGAAAUUAUUGAACGUUAUGAUUGUAAAGCAGUUGUUUCGAUGGCACAAAACAGCAAAACCUGCCACUAAUAAAAAUAACAACAGAAGUACUUUAGUAUUUAUUAAAGUGCUGCAAGUUGGAAAAUACGAUGUGCGAAAUGAUGCAGCUGCAGCACCACCUACCCGCUGCCCGGAAUUCGCAUGAACUGCACAAACGCAGCGCUUCUUUUCCUCGGUUCAACCAUUUGCACAGUGACUGACAAAAUGUCACCAAAGAGAAGGGCAAAUCUAUCCACCACAUUAAAUGGGAAAAAGAUCAAGGAAGAUCCUGAAACUACAGAGAACACGUAUUGGUCAAACAAAGAUGCACUGAAACCUUCGAUGCCACAGAAUGACAAGAUCAUAGCGCAGGAGCAGUGCCGCCUGUCUCCCGAGAAUGAGCUUAUUAGCUAUGAGGAUGAAGAGGAGUUGGCCUACUGUCAUGAAAUGAGAACAGACACGUUAACCCUCUUGAUGAAAAUUGAGAAGUUACAAGCUGAACUGAAAUAUGAAAGACAUUGUAGAAUGAUGGCUGAGAAGGAACUAAAAGAGUGUAAAGGUAUAUGCAUUCCACAGUAUCCAUUAUUGUGCUGUUUUUGACAGAGAUGAACAACCUGAUGGCCCAAAUGAGAGACUCAAUCUUUGAGCUGAGGUCUGUCCUGGACCACACUCGACAGGAGACGGAGGACAUUCUGACUGAAGAGGGGGACUCUGUGUGUGUUAUAGAUGAGGAGCUAAGUGGGAUACCUGAGCACUCCACUGAGGAUGAUAAAUUCACAGAACUUCCCGGAGGGCUGAAAGUUCAGAGCAGUCUCUAUAACCGAAUUUCAGAAAUGACAGACUUCAAAAAGUACACUUCUGCAUUGCUGAUGCUCGUGUUCAAUCGAGAAAUUUUGGCCACUCAUUCACUGCAGGGAAGAAAGUCAUCCAAUUCAAAAGAGGACUUCCAAAAGCCACCACUACCCCCAGAGGCACUGGCAAAUAUCAUUGAGCAUGUGAAGAUUAAAUUUGGCGUAGACACCAGCUUAAUCCGAGCUGCAAUCAGAACCAAACUAAACAAUGAAGACAAAAUGCUAAAGAAGAGACUGAGUCAUUUUUAAAACACACAGGUUUUCCUAAAUUUAAAGAAGCAGAACCCACCUUUUAUUCCAGCAAAGUUUGUGUAAAUGCAGACAUAUAUGUACGCACACGCUAAGUUACUAUUACUCUUAAUGCUAUCUCAAUGUGUUGUGUAAUUGUAAACAAAUAUGCCUCAAAGCUUAUCAUGUUGCAAUUGCUUUGAUAAUUAGAAUAAAGAGACUGAUGAGAAUUCA